rnacentral:rRNA from 1 species
GUGCCAGCAGCCGCGGUAAUACGUAGGGGGCGAGCGUUGUCCGGAAUGAUUGGGCGUAAAGGGCGCGUAGGCGGCCCGGUAAGUCUGGAGUGAAAGUCCUGCUUUUAAGGUGGGAAUUGCUUUGGAUACUGUCGGGCUUGAGUGCAGGAGAGGUAAGUGGAAUUCCCAGUGUAGCGGUGAAAUGCGUAGAGAUUGGGAGGAACACCAGUGGCGAAGGCGACUUACUGGACUGUAACUGACGCUGAGGCGCGAAAGUGUGGGGAGCAAACAGGAUUAGAUACCCCGGUAGUCCUGGCCGUAAACGAUGAGUGCUAGGUGUGGGAGGUAUCGACUCCUCCCGUGCCGGAGUAAACGCAAUAAGCACUCCGCCUGGGGAGUACGGUCGCAAGACUGAAACUCAAAGGAAUUGACGGGGGCCCGCACAAGCGGUGGAGUAUGUGGUUUAAUUCGACGCAACGCGAAGAACCUUACCAAGCCUUGACAUCUGGGGAAUUCUGAUGAAAGUCGGAAGUGCCUUCGGAAGCCCGAACAGGUGGUGCAUGUUGUCGUCACUCUGUCCUGAGAUGUUGGUAAUUCCGCACAGCGCACCCUGCAUUGUUACACGCGUAAGGUGGAACCUAUCGACAGCCGGAUACCGGAGGAGGGCGGGGAUAAUCAAUCAUCUUGCCCU